AUGAACUUGCUACUGAUCUUCCUACCCACGCUGGGGCCCCCUUCCUGCGUCCUCUCCCAAGUACAGCCGCAGGAGGCAGAGCUGGGAGCGGUGAAGCCCGGGGAGUCCCUGAAACUCACCUGCACCAUCUCUGGAGACUCGGUUUCUAGCACCAGAGCCACUUGGGACCGGGUCCGGCAGCCUGUGGGGGAAGGGCUGGAGAGUUUAUGGGGCGCAUCUGCCACCAACCUACUGGGUGCUCCACUGACUACGCCAGGUCUCUGCAGAGCCGAAUGAGCAUCGCACAGGGCACCGCCAAGAACCGGGUCUCCCUGCAGCUCCGCUCGCUGACAGCUGCGGACACCGCCACCUGUCCCUGCGCCAGAGGCAACGCUCAGGGACACACCGGCAGGCAGCCGUACGAAAAAGGGAGUGAGUCUCUGUUUAAACACAAGGCGCUGAUUCUAGAUACUCCAAUAUUCAUCCAGGAAUAUCUCAUCAAGAACCUGGAGCCCAAGUCUUCCACAGUAACUGUGCAUAAAUAG